GGGUUGUGAGGUUAAGCGACUAAGCGUACACGGUGGAUGCCCUGGCAGUCAGAGGCGAUGAAGGACGUGCUAAUCUGCGAUAAGCGUCGGUAAGGUGAUAUGAACCGUUAUAACCGGCGAUUUCCGAAUGGGGAAACCCAGUGUGAUUCGUCACACUAUCGUUAACUGAAUACAUAGGUUAACGAAGCGAACCGGGGGAACUGAAACAUCUAAGUACCCCGAGG
rnacentral:rRNA from 1 species